rnacentral:lncRNA from 1 species
GACCCUAGUGCACAACGAGGCUUGACAAGCCUCCGCACAUCGAUUGCAAUAAAAUUAACGAUUUAAUCCUCACAAAUAGUGGUUUAAAUCGUUUUAAUACAACAUUUCGUUUCCUUUUUAAUUAUAUUAAACCUUUUUAUCAUUCUAUCUAAUUAAAAGUGCGAUGUAUUUACUAUCGAUUCCUAAGAAUCGAUAGUAAAUAAGUUGUUUGGGUGCAGACAACAGAUCUUGUUUGUUUACGUUUUUUUAAACGAUGAGUCGAUGACGUCUUUAGACGAAAGAGCAGUGCAGAAGCUCUGCAGGCAUUAGUUAUGCCUGAAAUUUUCGAGGGAAUCACAUAAUGAAGCUCAACGGAAGAAGCAACGCAUAAUCGGUCAACGAGUAAGAAUAAGCCAGGGGAAAUCUAGUGCUAGGCUUGUGGGUCAACCUGAGCUGGCCUCAGGAGCGAGAGUUAUCAAGAAAGGCUCAAAAGAAGUAACCUAAUAUGGUCCAUACCUUGGAACGGAAGACCCAAAUUCCCAACAAGUCAGAUGGUGGAAAUCCUGGCAAUCAGACUAAGCGAUUAAAUAGUCUUCAUGGCAAGCAUGAGCAGGUGUCAUUGAAUAAUCAUGCCAUCCUUUGGUCUUCGAUUUGUGUGAAAACCCCAAACACUGUUCGUGCAGUGUCAAAUGGUGUAAGUUUUAUGAUGAAGGUGCUGAAAUCUCAGAUACCCAAAGAAGGCGCGUAUUGACAAGAUAAUUUUGAUCGUCUUAAUGAGAAGGACCGUGUUAUCGUGACGCAACCAGAUUUAGAUGUAUAUUCCCGUGACACACUUGUUUCAGUUCCUUUAAUCGAAAACUAUAUGGUCAUUGAUGCAUGGAUGAUAAGUCUACGAUAUAAGUAAGAAAAUGUUGAAAACCAGAACAAGAUGGCCAUGUUUGAUUGCUUCUCCGCCCGCCUAAUCUCCGUUCGCACAAGGUGACGAUUUCACGGAUGACUUUAAGGAAAAGGAAGAAGAUCUAUUGGACGGAUGGGGUCGAGCAUAGAGGAGUUUGAAGACGAAGGAGACUUCGGACAAGCAACUGAAGAUUGCGAUUCGGACGCCUUAGCCUGUCAGCCAUCAACAAAUUACUAUUAUUUUCUUUUGCAAGUCUGUAAUGCAUGAACCAAUUUAUUCCAUACAAAUACUAAACUGAA